ACGAACGCUGGCGGCAUGCCUAACACAUGCAAGUCGAACGAGAAAGUUCCUUCGGGAGCGAUUAAAGUGGCGCAAGGGUGAGUAUCACGUGAAUAAUCUGCCCUCGAGAUCGGAAUAACAUGGUGAAAACUAUGCUAAUACCGGAUAAGACCACAUUUCAUAAGAAAUGCGGUAAAAGGAGUCUCAAUCUUCACUCGAGGAUGAGUUCGCGCAACAUUAGCUUGUUGGUGAGAUAAAAGCUCACCAAGGCUACGAUGUUUAGCCGGCCUGAGAGGGUGAACGGCCACACUGGAACUGAGACACGGUCCAGACUCCUACGGGAGGCAGCAGUGGGGAAUAUUGCGCAAUGGGCGAAAGCCUGACGCAGCAACGCCCGUGUGAGCGAUG
rnacentral:rRNA from 1 species